GCACUGCUGAGGAGUCCCAUAAUAGGACGAAGUGGCCGUCCAGUGC
rfam:Schistosoma mansoni strain Puerto Rico chromosome W, complete genome